rnacentral:rRNA from 1 species
UACGAAGGGGGCGAGCGUUAUUCGGAAUCACUGGGCGUAAAGCGUGCGUAGGCUGUUCGGUAAGUCAGAAAGUGAAAGCCCAAGGCUCAACCUUGGAAGCGCUUUUGAAACUGCCGGACUCGGAUUUGGGAGAGGAUAGCGGAAUUGUCAGUGUAGCAGUGAAAUGCGUAGAUAUUGACAGGAACACCAGUGGCGCAAGCGGCUAUCUGGACCAACAUCGACGCUGAGGCACGAAAGCGUGGGGAUCAAACAGG